GGGGAAUAUUGCACAAUGGGGGAAACCCUGAUGCAGCAACGCCGCGUGAAGGAUGAAGGCCUUUGGGUCGUAAACUUCUGUUCUAAGGGAAGAUAGUGACGGUACCUUAGGAGCAAGUCCCGGCUAACUACGUGCCAGCAGCCGCGGUAAUACGUAGGGGGCAAGCGUUAUCCGGAAUUAUUGGGCGUAAAGAGUGCGUAGGUGGUUACCUAAGCAGGGGGUGAAAGGCACUGGCUUAACCAAUGUCAGCCCCCUGAACUGGGUACCUUGAGUGCAGGAGAGGAAAGCGGAAUUCCUAGUGUAGCGGUGAAAUGCGUAGAUAUUAGGAGGAACACCAGUGGCGAAGGCGGCUUUCUGGACUGUUACUGACACUGAGGCACGAAAGUGUGGGGAGCAAACAGGAUUAGAUACCCUGGUAGUCCACACCGUAAACGAUGAGCACUAGGUGUCGGGGUCGCAAGACUUCGGUGCCGCAGUUAACGCAUUAAGCGCUCCGCCUGGGGAGUACGUACGCAAGUAUGAAACUCAAAGGAAUUGACGGGGACCCGCACAAGCAGCGGAGCAUGUGGUUUAAUUCGAAGCAACGCGAAGAACCUUACCAGGACUUGACAUCCCUCUGAAACCCCUGAUAACGAAGGGGCCUCUUCGGACAGAGGAGACAGGUGGUGCAUGGUUGUCGUCAGCUCGUGUCGUGAGAUGUUGGGUUAAGUCCCGCAACGAGCGCAACCCUUGCUGUUAGUUGCCAUCAUUGAGUUGGACACUCUAACGGGACUGCCGGGGAUAACUCGGAGGAAGGUGGGGAUGACGUCAAAUCAUCAUGCCCCUUAUGUUCUGGGCUACACACGUGCUACAAUGGUCGGUACAAAGAGCAGCAAGACCGUGAGGUGGAGCAAAUCUCAAAAACCGAUCCCAGUUCGGAUUGCAGGCUGCAACUCGCCUGCAUGAAGUUGGAGUUGCUAGUAAUCGCGAAUCAGAAUGUCGCGGUGAAUGCGUUCCCG
rnacentral:rRNA from 1 species